AUUGAACGCUGGCGGCAUGCCUUACACAUGCAAGUCGAACGGUAACGCGGGGCAACCUGGCGACGAGUGGCGAACGGGUGAGUAACGCAUCGGAACGUGCCCAGUAGUGGGGGAUAGCCCGGCGAAAGCCGGAUUAAUACCGCAUACGACCUACGGGUGAAAGGGGGGGAUCGCAGGACCUCUCGCUAUUGGAGCGGCCGAUGUCAGAUUAGGUAGUUGGUGGGGUAAAGGCCCACCAAGCCUUCGAUCUGUAGCUGGUCUGAGAGGACGACCAGCCACACUGGGACUGAGACACGGCCCAGACUCCUACGGGAGGCAGCAGUGGGGAAUUUUGGACAAUGGGCGCAAGCCUGAUCCAGCCAUGCCGCGUGCGGGAAGAAGGCCUUCGGGUUGUAAACCGCUUUUGUCAGGGAAGAAACGCUCUGGGCUAAUACCUCGGGGUAAUGACGGUACCUGAAGAAUAAGCACCGGCUAACUACGUGCCAGCCGCCGCCGUAA
rnacentral:rRNA from 1 species